rfam:Mesocricetus auratus contig069993, whole genome shotgun sequence.
ACCGGGCGCGGUGGCGCACGCCUGUAGUCUCAGCUACUCAGGAGGCUGAGACAGGAGGAUCGCUUGAGUCCAGGAGUUCUGGGCUGUAGUGCGCUGUUCCUAUCGGGUGUCUGCACUAAGUUCGGCACCAAUAUGGUGUCCUCCCGAGAGCGGGGAGAUACCAGGUUGCCUAAGGAGUGGUGAACCGGCCCAGGUUGGAGACAAAUGAGACAGACCACUUGGAGAUACUCACAUAUUCCCCACGAUGUGUAACGACCAAUGGGAGCCUCACCAGACCUCCACCAUAUAGACUGGAUUUCACCUUUU